rnacentral:rRNA from 1 species
AUUGAACGCUGGCGGAAUGCUUUACACAUGCAAGUCGAACGGCAGCACGGACUUCGGUCUGGUGGCGAGUGGCGAACGGGUGAGUAAUGUAUCGGAACGUGCCCAGUCGUGGGGGAUAACGUAGUGAAAAUUACGCUAAUACCGCAUACGAUCUAUGGAUGAAAGCGGGGGAUCGCAAGACCUCGCGCGAUUGGAGCGGCCAAUAUCAGAUUAGGUAGUUGGGGGGGUAAAGGCCCACCAAGCCAACGAUCUGUAGCUGGUCUGAGAGGACGACCAGGCACACUGGAACUGAGACACGGUCCAGACUCCUACGGGAGGCAGCAGUGGGGAAUUUUGGACAAUGGGCGAAAGCCUGAUCCAGCCAUUCCGCGUGCAGGAUGAAGGCCCUCGGGUUGUAAACUGCUUUUGUACAGAACGAAAAGGUUUCUACUAAUACUAGGAGCUCAUGACGGUACUGUAAGAAUAAGCACCGGCUAACUACGUGCCAGCCGCCGCGGUAA